GUGGGGAAUAUUGGGCAAUGGGGGCAACCCUGACGCAGCGACGCCGCGUGAGCGAAGAAGGCCUUAGGGUUGUAAAGCUCUGUUUUAAGGGACGAAUGUCGUGGGGAGUAAUAUGCUCUGCGAAUGACGGUACCUUAAGAGGAAGCCCCGGCUAACUACGUGCCAGCAGCCGCGGUAAGACGUAGGGGGCGAGCGUUGUCCGGAAUUACUGGGCGUAAAGAGCACGUAGGCGGGAACUUAAGUCAGGUGUGAAAGACCGGGGCUCAACUCCGGGGUUGCACUUGAAACUGGGUUUCUUGAGGGCAGGAGAGGAAAGCAGAAUUCCUGGUGUAGCGGUGAAAUGCGUAGAAAUCAGGAGGAAUACCAGUGGCGAAGGCGGCUUUCUGGACUGACCCUGACGCUGAGGUGCGAAAGCGUGGGUAGCAAACAGGAUUAGAAACCCUGGUAGUCC
rnacentral:rRNA from 1 species